rnacentral:rRNA from 1 species
GAUGAACGCUGGCGGCGUGCCUAACACAUGCAAGUCGAACGAAGCUUGACGGAUGAUUUCUUCGGAAUGAAACCAGAUAUGACUUAGUGGCGGACGGGUGAGUAACACGUGAGCAACCUGCCUUUCAGAGGGGGAUAACGGCUGGAAACGGUCGCUAAUACCGCAUGAUGUGUUCGGAUGGCAUCAUCUGAACAUCAAAGAUUUAUCGCUGAAAGAUGGGCUCGCGUCUGAUUAGAUAGUUGGUGGGGUAACGGCCUACCAAGUCUACGAUCAGUAGCCGGACUGAGAGGUUGAACGGCCACAUUGGGACUGGGAUACGGCCCAGACUCCUACGGGAGGCAGCAGUGGGGAAUAUUGCACAAUGGGGGAAACCCUGAUGCAGCAACGCCGCGUGAAGGAUGACGGUUUUCGGAUUGUAAACUUCUUUUCUUAGUGACGAAGACAGUGACGGUAGCUAAGGAAUAAGCAUCGGCUAACUACGUG